GCCGCGGUGGCGUGGAUCGUCGCGGGGCUCGCGCCGCCGUGGCGGGCCGACGAGCUCGCGCGGCCACCCGUCCGGGGCCGGCCCGUGGUCC
rnacentral:tRNA from 1 species